rnacentral:rRNA from 1 species
CCAGACUCCUACGGGAGGCAGCAGUAGGGAAUCUUCCGCAAUGGGCGAAAGCCUGACGGAGCAACGCCGCGUGAGUGAAGAAGGAUUUCGGUUCGUAAAGCUCUGUUGUUAGGGAAGAAUGAUUGUGUAGUAACUAUACACAGUAGAGACGGUACCUAACCAGAAAGCCACGGCUAACUACGUGCCAGCAGCCGCGGUAAUACGUAGGUGGCAAGCGUUAUCCGGAAUUAUUGAGCGUAAAGCGCGCGCAGGUGGUUUAAUAAGUCUGAUGUGAAAGCCCACGGCUCAACCGUGGAGGGUCAUUGGAAACUGUUAAACUUGAGUGCAGGAGAGAAAAGUGGAAUUCCUAGUGUAGCGGUGAAAUGCGUAGAGAUUAGGAGGAACACCAGUGGCGAAGGCGGCUUUUUGGCCUGUAACUGACACUGAGGCGCGAAAGCGUGGGGAGCAAACAGGAUUAGAUACCCUGGUAGUCCACGCCGUAAACGAUGAGUGCUAAGUGUUGGUCUCAUAAGAGAUCAGUGCUGCAGCUAACGCAUUAAGCACUCCGCCUGGGGAGUACGACCGCAAGGUUGACACUCAAAGGAAUUGACGGGGGCCCGCACAAG